rnacentral:rRNA from 1 species
ACGGUGCAACGAGUCGCAAGCUCGCGAGAGUAAGCUAAUCUCUUAAAGCCGUUCUCAGUUCGGACUGUAGGCUGCAACUCGCCUACACGAAGUCGGAAUCGCUAGUAAUCGCGGAUCAGCAUGCCGCGGUGAAUACGUUCCCGGGCCUUGUACACACCGCCCGUCACACCAUGGGAGUUUGUAACACCCGAAGUCAGUAGUCUAACCGUAAGGAGGACGCUGCCGAAGGUGGGAUAAGCGACUGGGGUGAAGUCGUAACAAGGUAAC